rnacentral:rRNA from 1 species
UACAGGGGGUGCAAACGUUGCUCGGAAUCAUUGGGCGUAAAGCGCACGUAGGUGGUCUGUUAUGUCAGAUGUGAAAGCCCUCGGCUUAACUGAGGAAGUGCACCUGAAACUGGCAGGCUUGAGUACGAAAGAGGGUCGCGGAAUUCCCGGUGUAGAGGUGAAAUUCGUAGAUAUCGUGAGGAACACCGGUGGCGAAGGCGGCGACCUGGUUCGAUACUGACACUGAGGUGCGAAAGCGUGGGGAGCAAACAGG